AACGGCACAAUCACGCCGGUCAGGAUCACAUGGACCAUCAACCAGGACGGCACGCACGGUCAUCAGUCCCCAAAUCCUUCACAAAGCCGCUUGCGUGCCGCAUACACCUAGAUCAUAUUGUAAAGUGUUAAGCGUGUGCGAUUGGCGUGUUUACUGCUGCUGCUUUGAAAAAUUCUCAGGAAGCGCGCAAAUCAGGUUGCCUUCUUGGAGCUCCGCCCGCUGCAUUACUUUACCUUACAGGUAAUUGUAGCCUUAACAAGUAUACGUUCUCGGCUUUAAUUUUGUCGAUACACGCAAACAGGGCCAGAAAACCGUCAUUAACGCUCGGACGUUUGCAAACCUAUCUUGCGUGUCGUCUUCAGGAUCCGUCCGCAUAUUCAGCAUCCGUCCUCAUGAAUCCCUUGGGAGCGAGAAGGGACAAGUGAACUUGCCUCGUAUCCCUCUGUGCAAGCGAGGAGUAUGCAUGACGACAUCCGUUGCCGUACACCCGUAGACACACGCGCCUCUCGACAAUUCCUACUGGACUGUCCUAACGCCAAGCUAAGCAAGUAAAUGCUGCUGGUUCUGUCCCAGGUCAAUUGGUUUAGGGUUUCAGUCAUGUGUGUGCGCACAGCAC
rnacentral:lncRNA from 1 species